AUGCAGAUCACCUGGGGAUCUUGCUAAAAUGCAGACUCUCACUCCUUAAGUCUGGGGUGGGGCCCAAAAUUCUGAAAUUCUAACAAGCUCCCAGGUGACCUAGGC
rnacentral:pre_miRNA from 1 species